GACGAACGCUGGCGGCGUGCCUAAUACAUGCAAGUUGAGCGAUGAAGAUUGGUGCUUGCACCAAUUUGAAGAGCAGCGAACGGGUGAGUAACGCGUGGGGAAUCUGCCUUUGAGCGGGGGACAACAUUUGGAAACGAAUGCUAAUACCGCAUAAUAACUUUAAACAUAAGUUUUAAGUUUGAAAGAUGCAAUUGCAUCACUCAAAGAUGAUCCCGCGUUGUAUUAGCUAGUUGGUGAGGUAAAGGCUCACCAAGGCGAUGAUACAUAGCCGACCUGAGAGGGUGAUCGGCCACAUUGGGACUGGGACACGGCCCAAACUCCUACGGGAGGCAGCAGUAGGGAAUCUUCGGCAAUGGACGAAAGUCUGACCGAGCAACGCCGCGUGAGUGAAGAAGGUUUUCGGAUCGUAAAACUCUGUUGGUAGAGAAGAACGUUGGUGAGAGUGGAAAGCUCAUCAAGUGACGGUAACUACCCAGAAAGGGACGGCUAACUACGUG
rnacentral:rRNA from 1 species